rnacentral:rRNA from 1 species
AUUGAACGCUGGCGGCAGGCUUAACACAUGCAAGUCGAGCGAGCGGCGGACGGGUGUGUAAUGUCUGGGAAACUCCCUUAUGGAGGGGUAUAACUACUGGAAACGGUCUCUAAUCCCGCAUACCAUCAUAUGUCCCCCUAUGGGAAUAUCUAGUAGGUGGGGUAAUGGCUCACCUAGGCGACGAUCCCUAGCUGGUCUGAGAGGAGGACCAGCCACACUGGAACUGAGACACGGUCCAGACUCCUACGGGAGGCAGCAGUGGGGAAUAUUGCACAAUGGGCGCAAGCCUGAUGCAGCCAUGCCGCGUGUGUGAUGAAGGCCUUCGGGUUGUAAAGCACUUUUAGCGAGGAGGCGUUACUCGCAGAAGAAGCACCGGCUAACUACGUGCCAGCAGCCGCGGUAAUUC